UAAAAUAAUUAAGGGCACACAAAGGAUGCCUAGGUAGUAAGAGCCGAUGAAGGACGUGGUAAGCUGCGAUAAGCCUAGAUAAGUUGCAAUCGAACGUAAGAGUCUAGGAUUUCCGAAUGGAGCAAUCUAUUAAGAUGGAGUCUUAAUACGAAAGAGGGAACCGCGUGAACUGAAACAUCUAAGUAACGCGAGGAAAAGAAAGUAAAAACGAUACCCAAAGUAGCGGCGAGCGAAAUGGGUCAAGCCUAAACCUUAAAUAUGUCAAGGAUACAGCCGUUGUAUUUAGGGGGUUGAGGGACAGAGUAGUGAAGAACUGUAAGAUAUUCAAUAUAGUGUAUUGAUGAAUUGGAAUUGUCUGGAAAGGCGAACCGUAGAAGGUGAAAGUCCUGUACAAGUAAAUCCUUACACAUAUAACUCUGCUCCCAAGUAACAUGGAACACGAGGAAUUCUGUGUGAAUCUGUGAGGACCAUAUCUCAUAAGGCUAAAUACUCUUACUAACCGAUAGCGCAUAGUACCGUGAGGGAAAGGUGAAAAGAACCCCUGGAGGGGAGUGAAAUAGAACCUGAAAUUGUGUGCUUACAAGCGGUCAGAGCCAGUAAUGGUGAUGGCGUGCCUUUUGGAGAAUGAUCCUGCGAGUUACGUUAAACGGCGAGGUUAAGUAUAACGGAGCCGAAGGGAAACCAAGUCUUAAUAGGGCGAUUUAGUCGUUUGGCGUAGACGCGAAACCUGGUGAUCUAAACCUGUCCAGGAUGAAGCUGUGGUAAGACACAGUGGAGGUCCUAACCCACCGCCGUUGAAAAGUUGGGGGAUGAGGUAGGUUUAGGGGUGAAAAGCCAAUCGAACCAGGAGAUAGCUCGUUCUCUCCGAAAUGCAUCUAGGUGCAGCCUUGAGUGUUCAAUUAUGGGGGUAGAGCACUGAAUGAUCUAGGGGGCGUAUUGCUUACUGAAAUCAAUCAAACUCCGAAUACCAUAAUUUAGAGCUCAGGAGUGAGACUAUGGGAGUUAACUUCCAUUGUCGAAAGGGAAACAACCCAGACCACCAGCUAAGGUCCCUAAUUAUAACUAAGUGGGAAAGGAGGUGGAGAUUCACAAACAACUAGGAGGUUGGCUUAGAAGCAGCCAUACCUUUAAAGAGUGCGUAAUAGCUCACUAGUCGAGAGUCUCUGCGCCGACAAUGUAACGGGGCUAAGUUAUAAACCGAAGCUGUGGAAUCCGUAAGGAUUGGUAGGAGAGCGUUCUGUAGGCCGUUGAAGGAGAAGGGUAACCGACUCUGGAGGUAUCAGAAGUGAGAAUGCAGGAAUAAGUAGCGAGAAAGGGGGCGAGAAUCCCCCUCGCCGGAAGACCAAGGUUUUCAGGGUAAAGCUUGUCUUCCCUGAGUAAGCCGGGACCUAAGCCCAGGCUAUAAUGCGUAGGCGAAUGGAAAACAGAUUAAUAUUUCUGUGCCAGUCAUAUAUUGUGAUGGAGGGACGCAGAAGGGUAUGCGCGCGGACGAACGGAAGUGUCCGUAGAAGUAUGUAGGAUGACUUGAUAGGAAAAUCCAUUGAGUUAUAUCUGAGGUAUGAUAUACAGUCGUAAGAUGAAUGUGCAAAUCCCACGCUGCCAAGAAAAGCUUCUAACGUUAAUAUUUGACUGCCCGUACUGCAAACCGACACAGGUGGUCAGGAUGAGAAAUCUAAGGCGGACAGGCUAACUCUCGUUAAGGAACUCUGCAAAAUAACCUCGUAACUUCGGGAGAAGAGGAGCCCUUGAGGGUCAGUAUCCACGCGAUACAAAGCGCUCGAGGGUCGCAGUGAAGAGGCUCAAGCAACUGUUUAACAAAAACACAGGUCUAUGCUAAGCUGGAAGGCGAUGUAUAUGGGCUGACACCUGCCCAGUGCUGGAAGGUUAAGAGGAGGAGUGAGAGCUCCGAAUUGAAGCCCCAGUGAACGGCGGCCGUAACUAUAACGGUCCUAAGGUAGCGAAAUUCCUUGUCAGGUAAG
rnacentral:rRNA from 1 species